CGUCAGCUCGUGUCGUGAGAUGUUGGGUUAAGUCCCGCAACGAGCGCAACCCUCGUCCUAUGUUGCCAGCGGGUCAUGCCGGGGACUCAUGGGAGACUGCCGGGGCCAACUCGGAGGAAGUGGGAUGACGUCAAAUCAUCAUGCCCCUUAUGUCUUGGGCUUCACGCAUGCUACAAUGGCCGGUACAAAGGGCUGCGAUACCGCGAGGUGGAGCGAAUACCCAGAAAGCCGGUCUCAGUUCGGAUUGGGGUCUGCAACUCGACCCCAUGAAGUCGGAGUCGCUAGUAAUCGCAGAUCAGCAACGCUGCGGUGAAUACGUUCCCGGGCCUU
rnacentral:rRNA from 1 species